UUUCCACACUGGGGGUGCCGGGUAAUGGCCGGCUGAGAUAAAGAUCCAAAAGUCUUUGACCCUUUUACUUGAUCUGGUUAAUACCAGCGUAGGGAAGUGUAUCCAAUUAUGA
rnacentral:ncRNA from 2 species